rnacentral:rRNA from 1 species
CGGAUCGUAAAGCUCUGUUGUUAGGGAAGAACAAGUGCGAGAGUAACUGCUCGCACCAUGACGGUACCUAACCAGAAAGCCACGGCUAACUACGUGCCAGCAGCCGCGGUAAUACGUAGGUGGCAAGCGUUGUCCGGAAUUAUUGGGCGUAAAGGGCUCGCAGGCGGUUUCUUAAGUCUGAUGUGAAAGCCCCCGGCUCAACCGGGGAGGGUCAUUGGAAACUGGGAAACUUGAGUGCAGAAGAGGAGAGUGGAAUUCCACGUGUAGCGGUGAAAUGCGUAGAGAUGUGGAGGAACACCAGUGGCGAAGGCGACUCUCUGGUCUGUAACUGACGCUGAGGAGCGAAAGCGUGGGGAGCGAACAGGAUUAGAUACCCUGGUAGUCCACGCCGUAAACGAUGAGUGCUA